UUACAAUUAAAGGAUAUUUCUUUCGAAUGAAUAAGAUUCAGAAAUGCCUUUUAAUUGUUUGGC
ensembl:miRNA gmo-mir-7552-2 gmo-mir-7552-2